CGUAAACUCCUAAAACUGUCCUGAAGAAGUUACAGCUUUCACGCUGACUGUUACGAAGCGCUGACACUGGAGACUCCUUCCAUAAACGUCACACAAACACGUUUCUCCUUACAGAAAACGUCACUAAAUAGAAAUAUCUUUAUGUGGAGCGCCUCCUCCUGAUUAAAUGGAACAACAGCAAGCGCAAGGGAAUACACAAACACACAAGAACAAAAGAAGAACCCAGUGUUUGGUACCGUAGACUAGAACCUGUGUGGUCUGGGACAGAACCAGGACAACAAUGCAGAACACAGACAUACCACCACAAGCUAAUGUGUGAACACUGUCAGAGGACAAGCUAAUGAAGAGGCGCUUAAACGUACUCUACAUCAUCUCAGUCCUCUAAACAAAGAUGCAAUAAAGGCACCUUUAAGAGAACCACCAGCAGCCUGUUGGUGGUGGUGUUGUUGUGGUUGUUGUUUUCUGCUGGUGUUAUUGCUGUUGGUGGAGUUGAUGGUGUUUUGGUGGUAGUGUUGUUGUUGUUGUUGUUGUUGUUGUUGUUGUUGUUGUUAUUUAGUGAAACGGCUAUCAGAUUGAGUCUGGAGCAAGAAAGAAAGGUUGCGGCCCAGAUGGAGGUCCUUCAGUCCCAUAAGUUCUAAGUGUAGUAUGUAGUAUGACGUGACAGUGUGACUGGGUCACGUGGGUAUUAUCUGUGCAUUUGUCACGAAUUAACCUCCCAGUUGUGGCAGGUGCGGUGUAUCCCUAAAACACUGGGUAGCUAGGCUACUUGUCACAAAUCCAGUUUAUUAUUGGGUACUAAUCUGUAUGACGUCACUGCUGGUCAUUAAGGCGGAAGGAAAUGCGAUUUAAAACCUGAGUUUAAACAGCGGAAUGAACCCAAACAAAAGCUCUGAUUCCAGACCCCAUCUCCCGAGCUCACUUCACUGCUCUGACCCCAGCUCCUGACAUGUUUACUGUCUAACUUCCGGUCUGAAAUUGGUCGCAAAAACGUUUAAUUUUCACGUGUGUAAAGUUGUGAAUGGCGUUCAGGACAUGGGCGUGGUUAGCUUUUAUGGCUUUUAUGGUCUUCAUUAUCCGUUAUGAAUGAAAAUAUCAGACUGUGACGUGUGCAGACCGAAUUAAACACUUCUUUUUCAUAUUUACACCAUUCUCAUUAUUCCCUCGAUAACUUUUAGCUCAUAAAACUUUCCUCUUUUAACAGUGAGAAGUGUGAAUACGGCACGUGUUGCAUUUCGCUUUCUUUCUCUUUUAA